rnacentral:tRNA from 1 species
CAAAAAAUAGUUUAUAAAAAAUAAUAAUUUUGGGGAUUAUUGAUAAAGGAUUUCCUUUUUUUUUGA